rnacentral:rRNA from 1 species
UACGGGGGGGGCUAGCGUUGUUCGGAAUUACUGGGCGUAAAGGGCGCGUAGGCGGUCUGCUAAGUUGGAUGUGAAAACUCUGGGCUUAACCCAGAGCCUGCAUUCAAUACUGACAGGCUAGAGUUCUGGAGGGGAUAGCGGAAUUUCUGGUGUAGCGGUGAAAUGCGUAGAUAUCAGGAGGAACACCGGUGGCGAAGGCGGCUAUCUGGACAGAGUCUGACGCUGAGGCGCGAAAGCUAGGGGAGCAAACAGG